rnacentral:rRNA from 1 species
UACGGAGGGUGCAAGCGUUAAUCGGAAUUACUGGGCGUAAAGCGUGCGUAGGUGGUUUGUUAAGUCCGUUGUGAAAGCCCCGAGCUCAACUUGGGAAUUGCAGUGGAUACUGGCAAGCUGGAGUGCGGUAGAGGAAGGUGGAAUUUCCGGUGUAGCGGUGAAAUGCGUAGAUAUCGGAAGGAACAUCAGUGGCGAAGGCGACUUUCUGGACAAAUACUGACACUGAGAGACGAAAGCUAGGGGAGCGAAUGGG